rnacentral:lncRNA from 1 species
CUGGGAAAGCACAUGCUCUCGUGCGAGCUACACAAUGUAAGCACUUACUUGUGUUUGUCUUGUGCUUUGGCUGAUUCGACUGCCGGUGGACCUUCAUGCAUUCUUCCUCUUGUCGUGUGCUCUGGAGACCCUGUCUGCUGCUGAGUCUCUCCCAGGGCCCCACAGAUGCAGCCGUUCCAAUGAGAUUGUGAGGCAUGUGCAUAAACUCAAGGAUCAGAAGUAAAAUCAAAGAGACAGCCCUACUCCAAACCACCUGCCUGUUCAGGGUCCUUCCAGUUGUUAUUCUUCUCUGUCUUCCUUGAACUUGUCAUCUGGCUUUCCUAGGAAGGAGAGUAUGGCCAUCCAUCAGUGCCCUGGGCCGGCCCAUUCCUUGGACCAAAUCCUACCAGCAAGCAGAAGAAUGGCAGCUGCUACCCAGCUCACCCCACAGGCAGGGCCUGUGUCAUGGAGCUCAAGAACCAGGAGUUCUCAGUAACACAAUGGAAAUGAUGGUACCCAGCUCACCGGCUCUGAUUCUCUCUUAAUUUCCAAUACAACCAGAAUCUGGGGAUGGGAAAGGAGGAAACAGAAGAGGAAGGGCUAAGGAUGAAGCUAAGGAAAUAGGAUUUCCCCUUUCCCUAGGGAUGCCAUCAACUGUGUCUCCAGGAGAUUUAAAGGGCAGGGAACAUCACACACCGGGGCUUGUUGUGGGGUGGGG